AACUAGACAAAUGCAUUUCCUGAAGAAAAUGCGUGUGGAUGCUGAUUGCUGAAGAAUCGCCCUGAAAUGGCUGAAAUCCAUUUCUGAAACAGGUGAUGCCUGAGAUGCAAUGCUGAGGAAAAGAAAUUGCUGAACAAAUAUUUACUGCGCCAUGGACAAAUAUGCUGCUGACUCAGCAUCCACACAAUUAAUAUAGGCUUAUUUUAUUUAGAGUAAACCUACAACUAUGCCCCCAAAAUCUAUUUUCACAAUGUGUUGAAGCCUCUACACACCAGUAGUCCCACUGCUGAGAUCUUCUCAGGACUGUUUUAUCCAUCCAAACAGGCCUAUUCAGUUUUACUAUCAUGACAAAAACAAUCAAGACAAACACCAUUGGCUAAGAUGGAAACAGCUAAUGUUGCAACUGCAAAUCCAUUUUAAUGAAAAAGAAUGACUGAAACAAAUAACUGACUAGAGUCUGACAGUGGUGAACAGCAACCUGUUUGUGGUCAGACAACGUGGACACUGUCUCCUCCCAGCAGCCGACAGCUUUAGAUUAUGAACCAGAAAUGCAGCAAAGAGGACAUCUGAAUCACACUGAGCUUCAAAAUUCAUUCCUUGAUCUAGACUGUGUAGAUUCAUGACUGGAUUAAAUAAAACCCAUAAAAUCACACUUGCUAUUAAGGUUGUGUCCCGGUGUCUGGGCUCUUUAGGGCAGUAUUCACUCAGUGAUACAGGCUGGUCACUUUGUGUUCAAAAGCAGAGACAUCUUGUCGCUUAAUAUGAAAGAAUCGCCUGUUUUCUGGAAAUACUAUUAUCAGCUGAUGAAGCUCAGCGUCAUGUUACCUGCAUGGGCAAAUUGAACACUGCCUGAUUAUUGGUGGCAGGGGAGGAAGUGGGUCAGUGGUUGGUCCCGCAGACCAAUCAUCCAAUCAACAAUAAGGGCCAUGCCCAGUGGGCGUGGCCACAAGCCUUUUAAACCCUGAGAGCAGCUGGUGGAGUCUGUCAUGCAUCCUGUAAGUCUCUAUGUCAGUUGCUGUAAUGCUGGUCCAAGCGUCUGAUUUUGAUUCAGAUACGUUGGUUUGGUGCCAGGAAGUUAGCAAUUAUAUUCAGAGGCAAAAAUAAACUGAGGGAAGUUGUUUAGAAAUUGCUUUCAACUUAGGCUGUCUUGUGCAUGCAGGAAAACUGAGCUUGGAUUGUUUGGUGUGUGACAGAGGCUGAAAUAUGUACAAGUGGCCUGUUUGUGGCAGCUCGGCUGCAUUGCUGAAGUGAAUGUGUGGUGUAUGUGCUUAGGAGAAAUCCCGGUCGAGCCUGUCUGGAUUCACAAGGACUGUGGAAAUGGGACCAAAAAAUGUAGAUCUACGAACUAGAAGCUGACAUGGGAUGCUGGGACCCAGAAGUUGUCGCUUUCAGCUGUGAAGAAGACUGAGACCCAGCUGUACCAGACCUUCAUCGACAAUGGUUCCUCUGCACCACGAGUUGUUGAUUUCUUCAGAAACAUCAAGUAUCCAUCUCAGUCCACUUCAUUAAAUCUGUCUUUGAACUUAAGAUUGAGUGAUGCCCUUAGGACACUGAAGCUGGAGAAAACAACCUGCUGAUGUAAACGGGACUAUGAGGAGGUUGCUGCAGGUGUCCACACAAACUUCUUUGGUCCUGACAGUUGAGACUGACUUGAUGAGAUCUUGAUGGGACUGUUUCAGCUGAAGCUCAGUCAGCUUUACCCAAGUCUACCUCCACCUUGGAUGAGAUGACAGCUACUGAACUAUAACCUUUCUGCAGGAGUAGUGUGUUAAUAUUAAAAAAAAAAAAAA